UACGGAGGGGGCAAGCGUUGUCCGGAAUUAUUGGGCGUAAAGCGCGCGCAGGCGGUCCUUUAAGUCUUGUGUUUAAAGCCGAAGCUCAACUUCGGUACGCAUGGGAAACUGGGGGACUGGAGUGCAGGAGAGGAAAGUGGAAUUCCACGUGUAGCGGUGAAAUGCGUAGAGAUGUGGAGGAACACCAGUGGCGAAGGCGAGUCCCUGGACAACACCUGACACUGAGGCACGAAAGCUAGGGGAGCAAACAGG
rnacentral:rRNA from 1 species